rnacentral:snRNA from 1 species
GGAUGUGAGGGCGAUCUGGCUGUGACAUCUGUCACCCCAUUGAUCACCAGGGUUGAUUCGGCUGAUCUGGCUGGCUAGGCGGGUGUCCCCUUCUUCCCUCACUGCUCCAUGUGUGUCCCUCCUGAAGCUGCGCGCUCAGUCGAAGAGGACGACCAUCCCCGAUAGAGGAGGACCAUUCUUCGGUCAAGGGUAUAUGAGUAGCUGCGCUCCCCUGCUAGAACCUCCAAACAAGCUCUCAAGAAUAGAAAAGAAGCAAGGUUUUAAAAAAAAGACUUUAGAAGAAAGGCCUU